rnacentral:rRNA from 1 species
AACGAACGCUGGCGGCAUGCCUAACACAUGCAAGUCGAACGAGAACUUCCGGUCUUGUGGCGCUCGGGUGCGUACCGCGUGGGAACCUGCCCUUAGGUUCGGUAUACCUCACUGUAAGGGGUGCUAAUACCGCAUAAUGUCUUCGGACCAAAGAUUUAUUGCCUUUGGAUGGGCCCGCGUUGGAUUCGCUAGUUGGUAGGGUAAAAGCCUACCAUGGCGAGGUUCCAGAGCUGGUCGGGGAGGAGGAUCAGCCAGACUGGAGCUGAGACACGGCCCAGACUCCGACGCAGGGGAGCGGAGGGGAAUAUAGGACGAGGAGGGAAGACCUAAUCCAGCAGUGCCGGGGAAGUGAUGAAUGCCGUAGUAUAGUAAAGCUGUUUUAGCCGGAGUGAGAAUGACGGUACCGGGUGAAGAAGCACCGGCUAACUACGUG